GGUCCACAAUGAGCUCACCUGUACACUCGGCAGGCCCUGCUCUUCAUCGGUUCAAAACUACCGGUCACUCGUCACGUUUCCAGGGCUACAACAGCGAUCAAGAAGCAUCCGACCUUGAAAAUGAUCCAACAACACCAAUGAAUCGUGCAGAGAUUGCAACUACGCAGAUUUAUCAUGGUGACACAGAAAUACAUGUGCAUGUUCCUCCAAAUGGAGAAUCUACUAAGAAUGAAGAUGACUUCUCAUUUGUAAAGCCUGCUCCCCAAAGGUGAAAAGCAAGUAGGUAACCAAUUAGCUUUGUGCCCUUUUUUCUCCUUUUCCUCUUCCCCCUUUUGCCUUGUCACAUCGAUGUGCUUAUCCUUUUAGGACUAUCAUAUAAGCAGUUGGCAGUUCCUCGGCACAUAUAGGUGAAUUCUUUGUAUAUUUUCUCAUGAAAUUGCCAAGCGAUGAUCUCCAAUGCACUAUAUAAUUGCUUGCCUUUAUAAGAUUUUUUCUGAUGAAACGUGCAGAGAUUGCAACUACACAGAUUUAUCAUGAUGACACAGAAAUACAUGUGCAUGUUCCUCCAAAUGGAGAAUCUACUAGGAAUGAAGAUGACUUCUCAUUUGUAAAGCCUGCUCCCCAAAGGUGAAAAGCAAGUAGGUAACCAAUUAGCUUUGUGCCCUUUUUUCUCCUUCUCCUUUUCCCCCUUUUGUCUAGUCAUAUCAAUGUUUAGGACUAUCAUAUAAGCAGUUUGACAGUUCCUCGGCACAUAUAGGUGAAUUCUUUGUGUAUUAGCGAUGAUCUCUAAUGCACUAUAUGAUUGCUUGCCUUUUGUAAGAUUUUUUCUUGAUGAUUACCAAGUUUAAUAAAGUUAACACUUACCCGAAGGUCUUCCGGAAACAACUUCUCUAUCUUUUUCAUGUAGGGGUUAGGUCUGCGUACAUUAUACCCUUCGCAAGCUCCACUAAUGGAAUUAUACUGGGUUGUUAUUAUUGUUGUUGUAAUAAAGAUAAAACUUAAAAAAGAAUGUCCUAGGUCACAAGCAUGAGGUAAUUUCUUUUCAUUGAGCUCUCUAUCCUCAAAGUAGGGUAAGCUAUGUAUACACGCUACUUUUUUCAAACCACAUCCGUGAUAUGAUACUGAAUUUAUUGUUGUUGUCGUUGUUGUUGCCCUAAAUAUCGAUAGAUAAAGUUACUCGUUAGUUGUGUUAAGGGUUAGCAAAUACCUACCGGAUAGUCAAGUUAUGCAUAAACUGGCACGAAUACCACAAUUAAAAGAAGGAAAAGAAAGAUCUUCUAUUUAUGGAAAGUCUUUUUGCACAUGAUCUUUGAGUUUGUUUAAGUGGGAAAUGGGAAUUGAAUUCCUCCAAUAAUUCAUAAAUGGACCAAUUUUUGGUUACCUGCAUUUCAGAUCAAGCCAAAUUUAUCUCUUUUCCUCGGGAAAAUACAGUUCGCUAAGUUUUGGACCACUAUAAAUUAUGAUCUACAAAAAAAGAAGCAAUCUGAUUUUAGGUGUAAAAUCUCAUAUAAAAGCCAAAGGAUUGAAAACCUUUUUUCUUCUUUUAUCUUGUAUGACUCUGAUUCCUUAAAAGGUUUACACUAUACUGCUCUUUUCUGCUCAGUAUCUCUUCUGUUUUCCCUCAAAUAUCUUUAAGAUAUUCUAUUAAAAUCUGUAUCUGUGGUGAAAAGUUGCAAAAUUAUAUAAAUAAAUAUGCACAUAUCUUCAUAAAUUAAAUAAAAACACUUGCAUUGACUAUAUGGAAUUAAUAUAGUCUACUUGUGAGAUUACGCUGAAAUUGUAUUAUUAUACUUGCAUUGAUUUUAUAUAUUUUUUAUUUUAAGAAAAAGAAGUUGAACCACUAAUCCACGUUGCUCUGGAGAGGUGCAGUGUCCUUUGAAUAGAAAUUUUC
rnacentral:lncRNA from 1 species